GAUGAACGCUGGCGGCGUGCCUAAUACAUGCAAGUCGAGCGAACGGACGAGAAGCUUGCUUCUCUGAUGUUAGCGGCGGACGGGUGAGUAACACGUGGAUAACCUACCUAUAAGACUGGGAUAACUUCGGGAAACCGGAGCUAAUACCGGAUGAUAUUUUGAACCGCAUGGUUCAAAAGUGAAAGACGGUCUUUCUGUCACUUAUAGAUGGAUCCGCGCUGCAUUAGCUAGUUGGUAAGGUAACGGCUUACCAAGGCAACGAUGCAUAGCCGACCUGAGAGGGUGAUCGGCCACACUGGAACUGAGACACGGUCCAGACUCCUACGGGAGGCAGCAGUAGGGAAUCUUCCGCAAUGGGCGAAAGCCUGACGGAGCAACGCCGCGUGAGUGAUGAAGGUCUUCGGAUCGUAAAACUCUGUUAUUAGGGAAGAACAUAUGUGUAAGUAACUGUGCACAUCUUGACGGUACCUAGUCAGAAAGCCACGGCUAACUACGUG
rnacentral:rRNA from 1 species